rnacentral:pre_miRNA from 1 species
UAUAAGGGAUUUUAAGAUUUUGUUUGUAACGUUUGACCACUCGUCUUAUUUAAAAUUUUUUAAAAUUAUUAUUUAUUUUAUCUGUGACUUACUUUAUUAUCUACAGUAUUUUAAGUGUGACUUUUCGUUUUUUAUAUUUGCAAAAAAAAUUUAAAUAAGACGAGUAGUCAAACGUUGCAAACAAAAACUCAAAAUCCCUUAUA